rnacentral:rRNA from 1 species
GAUGAACGCUGGCGGCGUGCCUAAUACAUGCAAGUCGAGCGAACAGAUGAGGAGCUUGCUCCUCUGACGUUAGCGGCGGACGGGUGAGUAACACGUGGAUAACCUACCUAUAAGACUGGGAUAACUUUGGGAAACCGGAGCUAAUACCGGAUAAUAUAUUGAACCGCAUGGUUCAAUAGUUAAAGAAGGUUUUGCUGUCACUUAUAGAUGGCUCAGGGCCGCAUUAUCUAGUUGGCAAGGUAACGGCUUACCAAGGCGACGACGCGUACACGACCUAAGAGGGUGAUCGGCCACACGGUAACUGAGACACAUCCGAGACUCCUACGGGAGGCAGCAGUAGGGAAUCUUCCGCAAUGGACGAAUGCCUGACGUAGCAACGCCGCGUGAGUGAUGAAGGUCUUCGGAUCGUAAAACUCUGUAAUUAGGAAAGAACAAAUGUGUAAGUAACUAUGCACAUCUUGACGGUACCGAAUCAGAAAGCCACGGCUAACUACGUG